ACUUGGGAGGAUCAGCAGAAUAUCAACAAGUUCGGUAGAUUAAACAACCGAUUUCACGAGCUGGAUGAUGAAGUCGAGAUCGCCAAGGAAACAAAUGAGAAUCUGGAGGAUGCAAGUAAUGAAUUGAUUCUUACUGAUGAGGAGGUGGUUCGUUUUCAAAUAGGAGAAGUCUUUGCUCAUGUUCCAAAGGAAGAAGUUGAAACCAGGAUAGAACAGAUGAAAGAGGUGAGCAGUAAAAACUUGGAAAAACUUGAGGAAGAGAAGGAUUCGGUCCUGGCACAGAUGUCAGAGUUAAAGAAGAUUUUGUAUGGAAAGUUUGGAGACUCCAUCAACCUAGAGGAGGAUUAAUGUGAUGCUCCUUUAGCUUGUCUGUCUUACUUUGUUCUCCUCUGAGGAAACUAUCCAUUCAUUUUUCAUCAUUUUUCAAAUGUCAGGAGAAAUGACUCCU
rnacentral:misc_RNA from 1 species